rnacentral:tRNA from 1 species
GCAUUGCCAGCUCAGCCGGUUAGAGCACCCCGCUCAUAACGGGGAGGUCGUCGGUUCGAUUCCGGCGCAAUGCA